rnacentral:rRNA from 1 species
GACAGAGGGUGCAAACGUUGUUCGGAAUUACUGGGCGUAAAGCGCGUGUAGGCGGUCUCGUAAGUCGGGUGUGAAAGCCCCGGGCUCAACCCGGGAAGUGCACUCGAAACUGCGAGGCUAGAGUAUCGGAGAGGUUGGUGGAAUUCUCGGUGUAGAGGUGAAAUUCGUAGAUAUCGAGAGGAACACCGGUGGCGAAGGCGGCCAACUGGACGAAUACUGACGCUGAGACUCGAAAGCGUGGGGAGCAAACAGG